ensembl:lncRNA
UGGUAUUUCAUUACCAUAAUCAAGAUGAGAUGACCCAGUCAAAACCUCCCUAAACUCUAAUUAGCUCAUCACUUUGCUGAGUGGUUUCAUCCCUUCUUGUGCUAUUAUCAACAAGUUUUUAUGAAGCAGAGAUCAGAACUACCAUGUCACUCACACUGUAUUGCUGCAUGACCCUGAUCUAAACUUGAAUCCUUCAUAGUCUCAUUGACUUCUCUGUAUAUUUGUAGGUCAUAAUCAGAUUACUCUAAUAUGUUGUACUGAAUACCUUCUUCCAGACUGCAAUCCCAAGUAACUAUUCUGCCAAGUCACUUCAAACAGCCACACAGAGUGUUUGUUCUCAAGCAUUUAUAAUUUACACUUUCUGGCUGUUAGAAUUUUGUGUUGGAAAACUCCCUCCAAACCUAUCUCUACUGUCUACAUCAAUUCAUUUCACCACCUUUAGGAGCAAGGGAUCUUUGGAGGUCCAAAAAUUUUUAGAGCAGUUAUUUUUUUUGCUUUAUGUUUUAUUUACAGAUAAUCCAUCUUAGUCAAUGCUGUUUACUAUCAGAUUUUCUUUUUUAAACGCUUAUUUUCAGCAUCUCUACUGGGGUCACCGGUAAGGACAACACUGCCCCUGUCCACACUGUCAAGUAACUGUUUGCUAAGAACAACCCAUUACUGACCUUUUAAAGUAGUAUACUCUUUGAAACAUGGCUGGGAAUGCAUUUUUGAUGCUUAAUUCUGAAAUGCCCCCAAAAGAUACUCUAGAAGUAGGUCUGUUAGUACUCAGCUGCAGAGACUGACAAGGAGAAAACAGUUCAUUAUCACACAGCAGUAGCAACUCUGUUAAAUUAUGACCCUUACCUGUGUAUUUCUCAACAGGAUGUGUGGUGUCAGAAUUUGUGUGAUGGUCAAACAACAGCCUUCAAAGGAGUAGCCUAGCAGUACUGUGAGGCAGGUUUGUUAACAGCGUCAGGAGCUGAGCGUGCUGUGAUGCCUGGGGUACUGCUCAAGGCUAGAGGUGGCAGGGAAGAGGAAAUGUGAAACUCGCAAAUAUCUUUCUGUCCUAUUUGGCUGAUAAAGGUACCUGUCUACUUUCUAUCAUUUGCUGCCUUUCAGAAGACUUGCAUGUUACUGUUUCUCAGCCAGCAGCCCAGUCAGCAGGUAUUUCAGAAUAACAGAAAUUAUUUCAGCUAACUGGAGAAAUACAUACUUCUAUGCACCAGGUAACUUCAAAGACAAUUCUGUCAAUAGGGACAGCGUAUUUCCAGCGAGUCUGAGACAUUUAAAAGUAGUAGGGCUGCAGAGUUCAUUCCAACUGGAAGCUCAGGAAGCACAACAUAAGUAGCACGUUGCCAGCCCGUCAGCUGAAGCAUGGUGAUGUGCCUGUGCUUGUGGAAUGGCUGAUAUUUUCAUAGCAGAAAUGACUGACAGAGCAACGCUGUCCACAGCUCCAGGCUGCACUGCUACAGGAUGAGUUUCGAUGGCUUGAACUACUGCUGAAAUCCCUUUCUCUGUUCUAUCAAGAAAGACACUGAUCUGAAUUUAGCUAACAGUUUUUAGGCCACACUUAUACUGCACUCAGAGAGGAUCGAUUGAUUUAUUUAUAGCAGUAGUUCAAAAUUUUUGGAGUUGGAAAUUUCCUUGUCUUUCUCAUAACAAAUCAACAUCAAUACAAAUGCUAAGAGAACAUCAUCAAAAGAAAAGAAAAAAAGAAAAAAGAAAAAACUUGAAGCUAGACUCUUAGAUAGAUUUUACUUUCCAAUUGUAUGUUAUAAAUGUCCAAAACAGGUUGGAGAGAACUCCUCUACGCCUAGGUAAGUAAUAGGUGAAUUACACAGUAGUAGAUAUAUUUAAGGUUUGAAGACUAUCUGCUCUGGAACAUCCCUAACUACAGUGAAAUGCACAGAUAAUUACUUUCACAGUUUAGGGUGAGAAAUAAAAGAAAGGAAAAACUUCCUUCCGGCUAAAAUUGGUAAGGGGCAUAGUCAGAUAAACAAAAUAAAAACUUAACAGCACUCUUGGCCAGGACACCAGGCCUAUUGAUUAUGCAGCUGUGAACAUGCAAAGCCAGAGCUUCAGAAAGAGAUUUUUAAAACCACAGACCAAAGGUAACAGGCUCCAAAGUGCUAGCCCCUACACGCUCUAUACAGGACAGUUAUUUAGGGCAAACCCAGGUGCAUAACUGUGAAGGACGCAUACCUUGAACUUUCUUCCAGUACUGUUCUCAUAUCCCCCUCUGUUUUUGCCCUCAGAGAGAUUUAUAUUCCUUCAGCUUAAGUGGCACUUGAGUGUAGAGUGGAGGAGCUGGUAGCUGAUAUGGCCAUGAACAAGACAGGUGGUGACUUUAGAAGGAGGCUCGCUCUCCACUGUCCAUGGGCUUGGGGCAGGAGAAUUAGGCUAAUCUUGUACAACCUCUACUCCUUUCAUUUCUUACACAGAUUCAUUCACCUUUUAUCUUGCAUGAAAUGCAGGGGAUGCUCUUGGAAUACCAGGGCAGCCAUUGAACAGUAUCAAAGAACCAAGAGGCAUACCCUGCAAUACCAACCAGCUUUGACAAUGGGGAGAAGGGACUACUCCACAUCUAUAAAUAUUUAGGAUUAUUCAUCAAUUCUUUUCAUUUUGCAGGUCCUUUUCUUCUGCGUUCUCAUAGCUUAAUGCCUCCACUGGACUGCUUCCGAAGGAGCAGUCUUUCUGCAGGUGCAGUGUUGUAACAGCUGUGAAACAUUAGUCACCGUUUUAUCAGUGUUAAAACGUUCAAGACAAUGCUUCUAAGAGCACUAUCACUCAACAUACUAUCUAGUAAUUCUAUUGCAACAAGUCAGAAGAUUGAAUAAAACCUUCCAUUCAUGUUGCUCAUCUUGUUCUGUACCCGUGACUGGAGAUCAGCAAGUCUGAGUAAACCCCUUCCAGCUGUAAGCUCUGUGUGUUUAUACUGCAACAGUUCAGUAAAUCCAUUCAGCUUCCAGUAAGAAAUGUCUUUGUUUAUGGCUCUUUUACGAUACUCCCAAUCACCGUCAAAGGAUUCUACAGAAAUAUUUUUAAAAGAUUCAGUUCUGACUUAAUCAAUGCCAUUGUAGAUCAGGAAUAACUCCAUUAAGCUGAUAUGAUGUAAAAUCUAGUUUAUAUUUGCAUGCAGCAGUGAUGUGAGCCUUCUGAAAACUUAGGAGUUCAGAUACACUUAUGGCAAGUCCUGUGUAUGAUAAUUUACUUAAUGAACAUACUGAUGCCCAUGUUAUCUCAACUAAAUUGAGUAGUUGAGACUAAACUCUGAACCCCCUGAAAUCUUGACAAGUAUUGCCAUAGAUAUAGCUGACUCAGGAUUUCACAGAAUACAUAUUUAUUAGGGACUGCUGUUAAGAGAAUUCUCCCGUGUUUUAAAUCACUCUGCAGUGGUGAAUAAUUAAUACUCAGAAAAAGUUCAAUAUUUCUUUCUGCAAGUAGGCCAAGCCACCAGCCUACUGGAUUUGAAGAUGCAGCUCAAAUAUGCAUAAUCUCCUAUUUCAACAGUAUCGCCUGCACUUGCAGCAGAGCACUGCACACUCACUCUCUCUUCCUUGCCUCCGUAGUUUCUUUACUGUGGAAAAGAGUUUACACCUAACAAUGACAUUAAAACAGGAGUUAGUUACUGUACGUGUUUGCACGCCAGAAGCAGCUGCUGUCAGUAUGAAAGGGGAAAGGAAGUGAGGAGAUCCUGCACUGCUCUGGAAAAUACAGGUGCUGAGAGGAAACUUUUAUCCAGAAGAGUUUGUCAAAGAUAAGGGCAUAGGAAAGGAGAAAAGCGAUGAAGAACACUUCAGAGAUAAAAACAUUAGCUCCAGCCCAAUCUCCAGUAAAUAAAUUUACAUCUCUAACUGCUGCUUAUGACUAUCCAGAGAGAGGUACCACGUGAAUGGGAGGAGAGCAGAGCUAACCUCACCUCUGUGACUGUGAGCAGAGGUCCAGGAACAAGUCUGGUUUCCUAGACAGAAGGGCCCUUUGCAACAUGGUGAACUGCCCUCCCAAUGCUACUAACAGUGGCAUUUACUUUUCAUGUGGAUCUCAACUCUACCAGCAGCCUAUAACACCACAGCAAGUGACCUCCAAGGGGUCUACUGAGCCUCAUUGAGCAAUGAAAACAUGAUGACCUUGAUCAAAUAUCUCAGCUGUAGUGAACAUCAAAUAACAGUAAUUGCAAAGGUUGACAAUUAUUUGAGGGACAAGAAGUCUGGAGAUUUUGUAUCAGUAGAAUUCUAACAGCUUCAACAGAAUGCUCUUGAUUUAAGUUGGAAUAAUUGAAAAAUUAAUCACAUCUACAUAUCACCAGAAGAAAGGAGAAAUAAACCAUCUUGGAAUUUGUAGUUCACUAUAAUCUGAAGUAGAGAAGUCCUUGGAGAAAUCCAGUCUAAAAUAAUGCCAAACCUCAGCACCGUAUUAGGAAACAUAUCUUUACACUACAGACCAGUUGUUAUUCCAGAGUUGCUUCCUGGUUGAAGCACAACAUGCUUUGUUACUCCAUGCUCACCUGUGUGAAUACAACAGGUUUGGCUACAGAUGAAUGCAUAUAAAGAGUUGGAAGAGAUCACGUUCAGUGCUUUGUCCUUCGUUCUGGUGAGGUGCACUUCUGUUUCCCUACUGAGAGCUCCUAGGCACAUGGAAGCUGUAAGGCCAACCACCUAACCAUAGGAGGGAUGGGAUCGCUGGCAAACAACACAUCCUGCUUCACCUCAAGCACCCUCCACUCUCCAGAAGGUACUUUCCUGCACAUGGCUGAGGAGCUGCUGGAAGACUGAAGGGGCACUCCCUUCAGCUGUGGGGCUGCCCCACCUCCAGUGCUGCUCUUCUGGCACCCAGCUCCUCCCAUGCUCCUUGUGCAGCUGGUGGCCCAGGAAGGAGCCAGCAUUGCCUCAAAUGGAACAGAGAGCAUCAGGCUGUUUUCUCUUUAAAAGAAGAACAAAAACAAAACAAAAACUAGGCUUUCCCCUUUGUUUCUGCCUUCCUGACUCCCUGGUUCAUGUCCUUCAUUAAGGCGUCUUUCUCAGUCAAGUUCUGCAAGGGCCUUCUAGCAAAAAGAGUAAGUAUAUACACAUGCACAUCUAUCUAUAUAUUUGCGCACACACACUUCUAAUAUAUACACACAUAUAAAGAAUAAUGUUUACUCUCAUGCAUAAUACAGUAACAGUGCAAGUGUGUGGAGCAUGGCUGAUUUAUGUACCUAUGCACCAGCCACUCCCUUCAGAUACAGUUGCCAAGAUCCCAAAACAGGGCCUGUUUCCCCAUUGCCAUGGCAACAACAGGUGAGAAGCAGCAUUUCCUAUAAGGAAAGAAAGAGAUGCUGCCAGGCUGAGUAGAGGCCAGGAGCAGGCUGCUCCUUGUGCUCCCUAGGGCAGCCAUCACAUACUGGCUUUGUAGCAGCCAGCACCGUGACCUCACCAGCAGGACCUCAGGCACCAGUGCUCAAGGCUCCCCAGGCCUUGCCCAGUGCAGGCUGGAGGAAAGCAUAGCAGCUGCCUGGGGAGGCUGGCAGGGCUGCAGGGCCACCGGGACCACAAGCAGCUGGCUUAGUGCCUCCCAUCUGCACUGCCUUCACCUGACCCACCUGGAGGAGCUUUGUGAUGUGGGAAGUGGCACACCUGAAAAAAAAAAACAAACACCACAACCAAACAAAACCAAGCAAACAGUUGCCAAGCUUUUGAGCCUACUGUGCCUGGAGGCUGAGUAAGCCUGGUCUUUCUCUGUAAGAACUGGUUUCCUCCCUACCACUUUGGCAGCUAAGAUUAAUGCAUUUUAAACAGCACGUAGGUUCACUUGAGUUAUUUUUUACUUCCUCCUCUUACUUAUGAGAGAAAUCUGACCACGGUAACAGGAAAUUUAAAACAUCAUAUUAGCUUUGCUUUGAGGCACGUGCACAAACCUAAAGCCUGGGUAAAUAAUGAAUAAAAUCUCAGCCACUCUCUGUUAUUCCAACCCACUUCUGCAUCCUUGAGAGUCUGAUCAUCACUAUAACAGCAUUAAAACGAAACUGAUUGUGACUGGAUAUAAAUACCUGGUCUUAAACAUAAGCUUUUCUUCCUUAAGUGAACAUAUCUGGGUGUGGAUGAUCUGCUAUUAGUGGGCAAAAUGGGUGGUGAAGUGAGAAAAUGCAUUCUCACAGCUAUCUUAGACAUCACUGCAGAGAAAGCCUUCAUAAUAAGGUGUGGUAUACAGAAGAAUGUCCAAAGCAUGGCAGCUAUCUGAUGACUAAAAGCAUAUUACGUGCUCAAAGCAGAUCAGCAUCAACACACCGCCUGUUCCUGUCCAUCCUCCCUUAGAACUUGUUAGUGCUUCCACUGAGGUGCACAGAAGCUCAGCCCUUGCCCACAGGGAGCCCACCCAGAAGAGACAAAGUUAGCUUUGAACAACUUGGUACCAACAAAUUCAGCUGCGCAUUACAGAUCUAAGGGAAACCGAGCUUCAUUUUCUCCAUCACUUUGCAGAUUUGUUUGCUUGUUUCCCUUUCCAAGCAUCUGUAUUUAUUCCUUACUUAGUUAAGGACACUGCCUUGUUUUCUUGUCUCUUUCUCCAUGCUCUUCUAACCCUUCAAGGUCCUUCAGCAUCCUCCUGAUCUCCUGCAGCCCUGUCUCUUGCCUCCCAUGGGGCUCUUGCCAACAUUCUGCUCCAGUUUUGCUAGCAGUUGCUUUCUCCUUGGAUACAACUGUGCAUAGUUGAAACAACUCCUUUGUUAGGAAAGAACAACUGCAAUCUGCACUUCACUGCUGAAAACUAAUAGACUAUUUCUGUAAUACGUAAACUAAAAAAGACAUAAUAUCCUACAGAUUUGUGCCUCAUAGUUGGUAUAUCUCAUGUCUAACAGACACAAGCUCCAAGCAGAACUAGCUUCAGUUGCAGGAAACUCACAUUUGCUUUUUCCUAUGUGAAUUCUCUGGUAUAUAGAACUGGGGGGGUUUUACAUCAUAAUCCUUCUUCUCAGGGGAUGCUUUAACAGUGUCUAUCCCCUCCAUAUGCGUAAAGAAUCACUUAGGGAGUUCACAGUAUUUAAAUUAUACAUCAACCACAUCACUCUGGCUGGAGUUGGACAUGGAUUAAGAAGCUAGGCAGGGUGAAUCAAAAAGACAGACAGCCACUCACCUCAACUUUAUACUCUUCAGGAAGUCCAGUUGACAUCUAAGGCUGCAGGCUUGUCUAAUGUGCUCUAUAAUAACAAAAGCAAAACUUACCAGAGAUUGAUAAAGGGCCUGCAGUAAUGGCACUCUUAUGCUGAACCUCGCUGAUGCCAGUAUUGUUAGACUCUUUUCAAAAUGUAAGCUAUAUUGUUCUCAACUAUUAUGUAUAUUUUUCAGAAGCAAAAACAAAAGCAUGGUUUGUACUAGCACAAAAGGCAUCAAAAUCACUGCAAUUGUCUUCUGGUUAAAAUGGCCAGCUCUCAAUUCCAAAUGUUAUACUUUAUUGUGAACUUGAUGAAGAGAGAGAGGAAUUAAUUGUGAACUGGGCUCAUUGCAGGUUUAUCUUAAAAUUGUGAAAUUCAACAAAGUAAAUUACACAAGUUUAACAAAACUCAAAUUAAUACUUUUUUG